rnacentral:rRNA from 13 species
AGCCGGGGCGUGAGCCAUCCGGUGGAGAGAUCACUAGUGAGAAUGAUGACAUGAGUAGCGACAAAGAGUGUGAGAGACACUCUCGCCGAAAGUCCAAGGGUUCCUGCUUAAAGCUAAUCUGAGCAGGGUAAGCCGGCCCCUAAGCCGAGGCCGAAAGGCGUAGGCGAUGGGAACCAGUUUAAUAUUACUGGGCCAGGAGGAUGUGACGGAUUGUGGCGGCGUGCGUCCCUUAUCGGAUUGGGGCGUAUCCAAGACAGUUCCUGGAAAUAGCCCUCCAUCAGACCGUACCCUAAACCGACACAGGUGGACUGGUAGAGCAUACCAAGGCGCUUGAGAGAACGAUGUUGAAGGAACUCGGCAAAAUACCUCCGUAAGUUCGCGAGAAGGAGGCCCGGGCCAUGUGGUCCGGGGGCACAAACCAGGGGGUGGCGACUGUUUAUUAAAAACACAGGG